AAGCUGACGAGUGUAGAGCAUAAUCAUUGCUCAAAUCCGAGGGUUUCUUGUUGCACUAAUCUACGACAACCUUGUUCGAUGAUCAUGAAAUUCCGGACUAGAUGAAUGGCUUAUGAGUUCGAUUCUCCAAAGUAUGCAGGUUGCAACUGUCCAAUGUCUGUUUCCGACGCCUGCAGACCGUAUACAUCGAAAACAAUCGAUGCUCUACCCUCAUGACUAAUCUGAUCUGAUAUACUACGAUAACUCAAAGACGUGAGUCAACUCAUUCGGAACACGGAAUGCCGUCAAUGGAAAAAGCUGCCGUCCCCAUAUGUGUGAAGAGAAGGAAGGAUGCUUUCUGGGAUAUUUUCCAUCGUCUUCCAAAACGAUUGAAAUGGAUUAGAAGAAGCCAUCAAGUAAAAUCAAAACCUCUGGUUGAUGACACGAUCUUUUCUUCAUACUUCAAAACUUUUCUUUCAGACACAAAAAAUUUGAACUCGGAUUCGUAACUGUGGAUCGGAAAGGCCAGAAGAUGCGAAAUUCUAUAUCAAUCGAUCAUUUGACAUUCCUGUCAAUUUUCGGAAAAUGUUAAAACAAAGGUGGUUGAAAAUAGCAAACUCGCAAUGCAAAGAGUGCAAAUACAAAAAAUGUGACUUUU